CUUCCUCGAUCUGCUGCGGGCAGAUGAAAUGGAUGUGCGCGUCGAUGCCGCCCGCGGUGAGGAUCAUGCCCUCGCCGGCGAUCGCCUCGGUGCCGGGUCCGAUCGGAAUCGUCACAGCGGGCUGGAUAUCGGGAUUGCCGGCCUUGCCGAUCUUCCAGAUGCGGCCGGCCUUGAUGCCGAUGUCGGCCUUGACGAUGCCCCAGUGAUCGACGAUCAGCGCGUUGGUGAUCACCGUGUCCGCGACCUCGGCCGCGACCCGCUGGCUCUGCCCCAUGCCGUCGCGGAU
rnacentral:sRNA from 1 species